GAGUGAGUGAGAGAGAGAGAGAGAGAGGGGGUUGAUACGCCAUUGGUCAUAUCCUGCGACUACCUUCUGUCGAGCUAAUUACAUCUCCAAACUACAUCUCAUUAUCAGUGAACAAGUGGGAAAGGCUCGUAUUAGGAAGAGGCUUCCUGGGAAGAUAAUGGGAAAAGUGCUACUUCAUUCAAAUGCAAAUUAGAGUCUUUCAAUUUGGAGCACCUUGUUUUAUGAAGAUAAUCACAAAAGAAAAUCAGUGGAGAAGGAGCAGUGAUUACUUAUGUUUACAGCUGCCCACAGACUUUAUGAUUCCUUGAGAUCAUUUAGAGUGUGGCACCCUC